GGUGGGACCAGAUCCCAGCAAACCUGAGCGCCUGAGUCCAGCUCCACAUGCUGCUGCAAAUGUGCCAUGAGGGCUUUUGAAGGCACAGGCCAAAGCAGAGUCCCUGGGAUGCAGCUGUCUCUAGACCCCUUGACAAAGACAGCGAGGCUCAUCGUGGUAAGACCAGCCUCUCACUUAGGGUGAAGAAGCAAGCCACACGGCUUCUGACGGCUCCACACGAAACCAUCUGAGCGGCACUUGAAAGGAUCUUUGCUAUCUUUGGUCCAACACUGGACCUAACUCUCAACAGUGGCCUCACAGUUUCACUCAUCAAACUCGUGGCAGGCAGGACAUUAGUUAAUAAACCCCUAUGGCCAGCUGGACAAGAGAAUGAAGCUUCUCAUACAAAAUGUCCACAAGGCAGUCUUUCCGAAGAGCAUCCAUGUAUCGGAUCCUGUGUGUCUGUCUGUCUGUAACCUUGGGUCACUUGUCCCACAGCUGGACUCCCUCUGCUCUCUCUCUUUGUAGCCCUGGCUGUCAAACCAAUAAAUACAGGUCAAUCCUGC
rnacentral:lncRNA from 1 species